GGGGGGGGGGGGGGUUCGGGAGAGAGAGGUUAGAGUUUUUGUUCUGUGUAGUUCCGGGUGAUUGAAGACUGUUGGGAGACCUGUUGUCACCCCGCUGUUGUGAUUAAGAAAAUAAAGGAGUGCUGUUCACACCGAGGUGCCGAGAUGUUGAUAAAUGUAAAACAUGGGGGGAAUAGGUGAAGGCUGAUUACAUCUGUACAGUCCAGCACAUUGAGGAGGUCUUUCCUGAAUGCCAACAAAGAUGUGUUAUCUACACACAUGAAGGAAGAACAGAGAGCACCUGUAUGUUUUCAUCUGUGAUGGCGUGUGAUCUGUGAAGAAGGCUGGUGCAUCCCAGCUACCGAAGCGCAAGGAGGUUGCUUCUCAAACUGACACGUCACUGCAGGCUGUGGGCACACGGCUACCUUGUAGAAGAGUUGUUGGCUCACCUCAGGAGCACAUGUGUAAUCCUUCUGGAGCAAGAGGAACUCUGUCCCAAGUCAAAAUGAAACACGAAAUCCUACAAAAAGGUAAGAUUUGAUUACAUAAUUACAGGAUCUAUAUCUUGCAUAGGCUUCUACAAUGUUGUAGUACUCUGACUUUAUUUCACUUUGAUCUUAUGGGUUGCAUUGUCUUGCAGUCACUGAUGGACGGAUUGUAUUAUUGGACCCCCCAGAAAGCACACAGUCUGGGACAUUGUGUGAAGCAAUGUAAAUAAUAAUCAAUUUUAUUUUUUAGGACAUGAAGGAAUGAUGAGUGCUUUGGUGCAGAAACCUUAGUAAAAAUGAUUCUGACAAAUCAUGUUUCUUAAGAGUCUUCCAUCUCUGUGGUCUACUUGGUUCACUACUGGAUCCUCUUGGUCCUCUUCAGCAGGACAAGAAGGGUGGCUCUCCUCGUAUUGUGGCAAUGUUGUGAAGGACAACACAAUUCACUAUAUUGUCACAUGCCCUUUCUGGACUGACCCUGAGGCCACACAGACACUGGAAGCUCGCCUUCAGGAUGCCUGUGGUCAUCUUCACCUUGGCCCGUGUUCUGCUGUGGGCCCGUUUGAACUGUGUCUGUGGUCCAGGCUCAGGUUCAGGGUAGGGUGUCAUUAAAUAGGGCAGACAAGGGAAUCCUCUGUCCCCCCCAGCAAGUAGCUAUU